AAUUUAUCCCGCUGCGGACACCGGUCGAAUCGAAUUACAGAGCUUGCACCAUUCCCUGCUCGUUCCCUUCGGACUAAGGCAACAGCGGUUGAGAUCCAAUGGAUCGAUCUCUUCUUGAACUCUGUAGGGGUGAUGGCUCCUUUCUUCCUCCAGUCCACAGACUUUGGCAAGUCUACAGCAUUCUCAUACAUGAAUUCUCUUUUAUCACUUGAAGUGGCUUCCUGUCUUCUCGUGAAGUUGGGCUUCAGACCAAGAUACAUCAUCUUGAACUCCUCAUGACUGAGAUCAAUCAGGCUAUCAUGGGACGUCAGGUCCCCCUCUCUGUAGCCCACAAUGGAGAAUUCGCUGGGAAUUGCAGAGCUGGAGAAGAGGACGAGGGAGAAGAAGAGGAAAGAUAGAUACAUGAUGGAGGACUGC